GACGAACGCUGGCGGCGUGCUUAACACAUGCAAGUCGAACGGAAAGGCCCUGCUUUUGUGGGGUGCUCGAGUGGCGAACGGGUGAGUAACACGUGAGUAACCUGCCCUUGACUUUGGGAUAACUUCAGGAAACUGGGGCUAAUACCGGAUAGGAGCUCCUGCUGCAUGGUGGGGGUUGGAAAGUUUCGGCGGUUGGGGAUGGACUCGCGGCUUAUCAGCUUGUUGGUGGGGUAGUGGCUUACCAAGGCUUUGACGGGUAGCCGGCCUGAGAGGGUGACCGGCCACAUUGGGACUGAGAUACGGCCCAGACGCCUACGGGAGGCAGCAGUGGGGAAUAUUGCACAAUGGGCGGAAGCCUGAUGCAGAAACGCCGCGUGCGGGAUGACGGCCUUCGGGUUGUAAACCGCUUUCGCCUGUGACGAAGCGUGAGUGACGGUAAUGGGUAAAGAAGCACCGGCUAACUACGUGC
rnacentral:rRNA from 1 species